CGCAGCCGCAGUAAUUCCAGCUCCAAUAGCGUAUAUUAAAGUUGUUGCAGUUAAAAAGCUCGUAGUUGAAUUUCGGAAUCAGUACGCCAGUCAUGCUUCGGUAUGUACUAGUGUCACUGAUUCCUUCCUUCUGACGAACCGUCAUGCCAUUAAUUUAGUGUGAUGUGGAAUCAGGACUGUUACUUUAGAAAAAUUGAGUGUUUAAAGAGGCUCGCGCUUGAAUACAUUAGCAUGGAAUAAUGAAAUAGGACGUUUGAUCUUAUUUUGUUGGUUUCUAGGAUCGAUGUAAUGAUUAAUAGGG
rnacentral:misc_RNA from 1 species